rnacentral:rRNA from 1 species
UACGUAGGCAGCGAGCGUUGUUCGGAGUUACUGGGCGUAAAGGGUGCGUGGGCGGUUGUUUAAGUUUGGUGUGAAAUCUCCCGGCUCAACUGGGAGGGUGCGCCGAAUACUGAAUGACUAGAGUGCGGGAGAGGAUAGUGGAAUUCCUGGUGUAGCGGUGAAAUGCGUAGAUAUCAGGAGGAACACCGGUGGUGUAGACGGCUAUCUGGACCGUAACUGACGCUGAGGCACGAAAGCGUGGGUAGCAAACAGG